UUUCCACUCCCCACUCUUUCCUCCACUCCCACACACUCUCCUCCUUUUUCUCCCCACGAAAUUGCUGCUCCUCCUAGCUUCAUGGCCGGCCAUGGCCAUGGCCAUGAAAAGCUCUCCAUGAUGAAGCUCUCCCCUCCCUCAAGCUCCUCCUCUCCAUGAGAGCAUCCCUCUCCUUUUUCUCCCCAACCCUAGAUGGUUUUCUCUCGUCUUCUUCUUCCUCCCUUGCUAAGUUUGGAUCUUGAUGCAGGUGCAUGUUGGUCCAAGCAUGGAGAAGCUUCACCUAUCCUCAGAUCUGAAGUUCUUGACCAAAAUCCAAAUCGAGUGAUUCAAAGUUCCGCAGAUAGGUAUUGAAAAGGUCUACAACUUGGCGUUGGUCUCAUCCUCAAAUUCUUUACGGAUUUUUCAUGAUCAAGAUCUGGUCAGAUCUGACUUUGUCGAAUUAAACCAGGAGCUUGGAAACGAAUUUUUGAAUGAAACCAAUUGGGGGAUGUUUGGUUUAUACCAUGGUGAUAACCGAGAGAGGCAAUUGCUAAGUUGUGAUACUCUCAUACCUUUACUAGAUGCGAACAAUUCCGGAGAAGAAGAAGAAGUGGAAUCGGACAAGGAUUUUAUUUUUGUUGUUGGGAUUCUUAUAUUGAUGGAGUUGAAAAAGUACAGGGACAAAAUAAGCCAAGGCAAUCCAUCUUUUGAUCUCUUGCUAUUUAUUCUUCUUGUUGUGCUCAUUGCUCCAUUAUAUACUUGGUUCCUUGUAUCAUGUGUGAUUUUUGAUCCUCAAC